rnacentral:rRNA from 1 species
UACAGAGGUCUCAAGCGUUGUUCGGAUUCAUUGGGCGUAAAGGGUGCGUAGGUGGCGCGGUAAGUCGGGUGUGAAAUUUCGGAGCUUAACUCCGAAACUGCAUUCGAUACUGCCGUGCUUGAGGACUGGAGAGGAGACUGGAAUUUACGGUGUAGCAGUGAAAUGCGUAGAGAUCGUAAGGAAGACCAGUGGCGAAGGCAGCUCGCUGGGACGGUACUGACGCUGAGGCGCGAAAGCGUGGGGAGCAAACAGG